CCUUACGACCAGGGCUACACACGUGCUACAAUGGCGCAUACAAAGAGAAGCGACCUCGCGAGAGCAAGCGGACCUCAUAAAGUGCGUCGUAGUCCGGAUUGGAGUCUGCAACUCGACUCCAUGAAGUCGGAAUCGCUAGUAAUCGUGGAUCAGAAUGCCACGGUGAAUACGUUCCCGGGCCUUGUACACACCGCCCGUCACACCAUGGGAGUGGGUUGCAAAAGAAGUAGGUAGCUUAACCUUCGGGAGGGCGCUUACCACUUUGUGAUUCAUGACUGGGGUGAAGUCGUAACAAGGUAACCGUAGGGGAACCUGCGGUUGGAUCACCUCCUUACCUUAAAGAAGC
rnacentral:rRNA from 1 species